GAUGACUGCAAGGACCUUGCCAUCAAACCACUGAGAAGGUUUGAAGAAGGAAUAAAGAUAGAAGGGUGGAAAGUGGCACAUCUUCCAAAAGCCAAUCACUGAGACAACAAGCACUGCCAGGGAAGAAACUUUCAUCAAGGUGCUGCAGCCAAGGAGAAGGGGAGGCUUUUCCUUAGGUUUUGCCGUGGAGUCCUUUUUUCCCUUCCUUUCUUUCCCCAGUGUACACUCGAAGGUUUGCAAUGCUUCACGCUUGAAGACUUGAGAAAAACUGAGUCAAUUCAAUCUGACCGACUUCAUAGUCACUGGCUUCAUGUGCAUUUGCUUGCUGUGAAAAGAAAAGCAUGUGAAGAAAAAUAUAUUGCCACUGAAUGAAUGGAUCUGUCUCAAAUAUAAUUGCUCAUUUUUACCUGUCCCUUAUGUACAAACUCUUUCCAGCCACAGCUCUUCCGAAUGGGCCGCACCCUCCAGGCCACUUCAGUGCUACACGCGGCCACACCAGCAACAUUUUGCCAAUGCCAGUGUCCUGGGUCUCUUCUCGAUUCCCUGAGAUUCCUGGAGCUGCUCACAAGGCUUGAGGCCCUGGGCUCUUGGCAGCUGAAACAAAACCUGAGAGAAACUCACUGGGUUUUGCAAUCAAUGUGCUGAAACAUCUCCAGCAAGGAGCCACAUCAUCCCAUUUCUGGUCACGCAGAUGCUGGAGCUACUGGGCUCCUGCCCCGGGUUGAUGGUCUUAGAGAACUUGAGAUCAGAUUCUGGUCCAGAGGGAAGAGCAGAUUCAGUUUCCUGAGAAGAAACCAGGAAGCAGUGGCUAGCCUCAUAUUUUCUGGAGCAAUCCUGCUUUUGAGCAUUCUUAUUUUGUGGUCUACAAGAAUUAUUUUGUCCAUAUUAGAGCAUGUGGCAGGGUGGGCAUGGGGAGGUGGAGAGGUUGGGGAAGAUGUAGGUGUAGCAACUGACAGAAACUGAUGUUGGGGAACUGUUCUGGGGAGGCCACUGUCACUAUCAGGAUACUGUGUUAUUAAGAGGGCCACUGACAGGAACGGAAGUUAAGUCUGGUUUAUCUGUUUAGCCCAUUCUCAGUCUUGUCAGCUAAACAGAAAUCAGGGCUCUGGUGUGUUGGUGGAGGAAGAAGAAUGGGAGGAUCUGGAGCUGGCAAUACACAUGAGGGCCUGAAGCUUUGGCAGCAUUGCAAUGGGUGUGAUGCAGAACCAGAGGCUUUCAGGUGGCACUGGGGAGCUGGGAUGGAGGUUAAGGGAGAAAGGAAGACCCAACAAAAGGAACGAGUAGGAGAAACUUUGCCUAUUCCACUGUUUUGUUUAGGCCAACCUUAAUCCCUGGGAUUUAACUUCUGAAUAAUGAGUUUAAAAAGAACAAAUAAUAUAUGAAGAUACUGAUGCCAAUGAUGUGGCACAUUGCUAGGGCCUUGGGUCAGUUCCUAGCAGUUUUGCUAGCAUGCAUGUUAGCAGGUGACAGGAUAACCACCGUGACCCCAGAGGGUUUUGACAAUCUGGACCUAAUCUGUCUUUCUCAAUUCAUCUUUGUUUACUUUCCCAUCAACCCAUGCUCUUGUCUUUCUGAAUUCUUCCCCAUUGCCAGACACCCUGCAUUUAUACCGCUGUGCUGGGAGUAUUCUCACUGCUUGGUAGACAACCAUUUCUCUCUAUUCUCUGGAAAAUUCUUAUUAUCUAUUCUUCACAUUCCCUUUUGAGUUCCUUUUAUAUGAUCUUUUCUAGCUCUCUAGAUAAAAUUAAUCUUAUCCCUCUCUGAACUUUUGUUUUUAUUAUAUUAUAACAUAUGUAGAAUUAUAACUCUUUCAUCCUUGGUGUCUCUCUGCUAGAUCAUGUAUGCUUUAAGGGAGGAGACCAAAGUUAAAUCGAGUUGCCUUGCCUAGCAUUAAACUAAAUGAAUGUCUGAGAUAUGCGGUACUCUCUCAGUAUUUGGUAGGUGUUUCUAAAAGGGAAAGAGAAUGGGAGUAGAGAAGCUCUGUCUCUGCUAUCAGUGUUAUGUGUUGGUAUAAACAUGUGUUCAUUUAAACACACACACACACACACACACACACAGAAAUAUAGAAGUAUUAAUACUUACUCUGUGCCAGUUCCUGUGCUAAGAAAUUGUACAUGGAUGUUUGUAUUUAAUCCUCACAAGGGUCUCUAAUGCAGAUAACGGUAUUAUCUCUAUUUUAGAAGUGAGGAAAUAGAAACAAGUAAGGGUUUAAGUGAUUUAUUAUCCAAGGUCACAUAGGUCACAUAGCAUCGAUUCAAAUUCAGUCUAACUCCAGAGCCCAAGACUUCAUCUGUUAUUAUUAAUUACCUCCGUUUGUCGCAUCUCAGUGGAAACCGUCUCUCUUUUUUUAGCUGCUUGACUCCCACUUUAGGAGCUGAAAACUCCACACAUUUUUUAGCCUCCCUUGCAGCUAGGAUGCAGGUAUGUGACCCAGGCUUGACUAAAUGGAUGUACCUGCUAUUGCCUUUGAACUGGGAGCUGGUAACAGAUAGAAUCAGAGACAGCAGCAAAUCCAGAGGCACGGAGGUGGAGCAGCACAUUCAAAGUCCUGUGUCUGUGGCUGCCAGUCAACCUGUGAUAUCUGUGUUUAGCGUGAGGGGAGUGAUGGUGGUUUCCCCAUUAGAUGGGUUAAGUGGUGUGAUUUUAGUUGUCCACCUGCUGCCUAGCUUCCCUUGUCUGGCCUCCUUUUCUAAGCCUGGUUCCAACACUGUUGAAAUGCCUUGAGCUAUUGAACAACACAGCAACACAUGCUUUUCUCUGCUUAAAUCAGCUAGAGUUAUUUUCUGUUGCUUGCGGUAAACAACUCUGACUGGUAUAAUAUCCAAACUCAUUAUCUUGAAUAUAAGACUCUCACAUACAUUAUUCUUACCUGGAAGAAAAAAAACACACAAGUAACCAGAAUUUUGUGAAUGUUCAACAGAGCAGAGGGUGAAUGUGACAGAUUGUGUAUCAUUAGGAACAAUUUCUAGUUUAUCCAUCUGACUACUUACUUAUGAUUCAUAUGGCAAUUUGCAUGGAUGGUUAUAGGACUUUUUAGUAUAUUCUUACAAAACUCACGUCCAAAAAAGGACUUUUACCUUCCAGUAUAAUCUGACUCUGGGCUUUAUAAAUUUCAUAAUAAAUUUUCCCUUUGAAUGAUCAGAAAGAAAAAUGCUAAAUAUCUUUCUGGCUCAUUAUAGGCAAAAUGGCUUCCUGAAAUUGUAGUAGUUAAAAAAUAAGAUCACAGAGGAAGUUGAAUUGCUGAAUUAUUUAAUGUAAGCUGACUCAUUAGAGCCUUAGCUUCUGAGAUGGAAGAAAAUAUGAUAGUUUACAUAAAGGUUACUGAUAAAUUCCAAGAUGAAAUUCACUUU
rnacentral:lncRNA from 1 species